rnacentral:rRNA from 1 species
GACGAACGCUGGCGGCGUGCCUAAUACAUGCAAGUAGAACGCUGAAGAGAGGAGCUUGCUCUUCUUGGAUGAGUUGCGAACGGGUGAGUAACGCGUAGGUAACCUGCCUGGUAGCGGGGGAUAACUAUUGGAAACGAUAGCUAAUACCGCAUAAAAUGGAUUAUCGCAUGAUAAUGCAUUGAAAGGUGCAAAUGCAUCACUACCAGAUGGACCUGCGUUGUAUUAGCUAGUUGGUGGGGUAACGGCUCACCAAGGCAACGAUACAUAGCCGACCUGAGAGGGUGAUCGGCCACACUGGGACUGAGACACGGCCCAGACUCCUACGGGAGGCAGCAGUAGGGAAUCUUCGGCAAUGGACGGAAGUCUGACCGAGCAACGCCGCGUGAGUGAAGAAGGUUUUCGGAUCGUAAAGCUCUGUUGUAAGAGAAGAACGAGUGUGAGAGUGGAAAGUUCACACUGUGACGGUAUCUUACCAGAAAGGGACGGCUAACUACGUGCCAGCAGCCGCGGUAAUACGUAGGUCCCGAGCGUUGUCCGGAUUUAUUGGGCGUAAAGCGAGCGCAGGCGGUUAGAUAAGUCUGAAGUUAAAGGCUGUGGCUUAACCAUAGUACGCUUUGGAAACUGUUUAACUUGAGUGCAAGAGGGGAGAGUGGAAUUCCAUGUGUAGCGGUGAAAUGCGUAGAUAUAUGGAGGAACACCGGUGGCGAAAGCGGCUCUCUGGCUUGUAACUGACGCUGAAGGCUCGAAAGCGUGGGGGAGCAAANCAGG